CACCUCUGUUUCACACAGAUGUGGUCAUAAGACUUCUGGCCUCUUCACAAAACUUCUCCUUUAAAAAAUAAAACCCUAAUCUUUCACCAGCCACACCCAGCUCUCCCACCCUCUCCACGUCUGCCAUCAGGCUGCUCCUCCUCCGGCGCCGCCCCCACCACGUCAGCCUCCACUGUACGUCGCACCAUCAGGCUGCUCCUCCUCCUCCGGCGCCGUCCCACCACGUCUGAGAUAUGCUAUGUCUUUGUAUUUGACUAGAUACUGUUAUUACAUGUUUGAGUUUUACAAUUGCUUGAUUGAACCAGGAUCCGCAAACGGUGUUGCACCACGAGCGAAGAUGAAAUAUCAAAGGAUAAAGCGUUUCAGAGCUGCUAAAGAAGCAGCUCGUAAAGUGAGUUUGCAAUUGAUGAAUUGUCAAAGGAUAAGGCGUUUCAGAGCUGAUAAGGCGUUUCAGAGCUGUUGCACCACGACAGAAGGAAAUCGCAAGAAGGCAUUUUUAUUUUUUCUUUUUCUUGGGUGAUUUCUAGAACACACAAACUGCUCGUUUUUGUUUCGUAAGUUUUAAGUUUUGGAUGCCUUGUUUCAUUUUAGUAUUGAUUAAAAUAGCCAUUAUGUCCGGCUAGAAUCGUUUAGUUUUGACAUUUGCGGUUUAUUUUCUUUGUUUUUGUUCA